GAUGAACGCUGGCGGCGUGCCUAAUACAUGCAAGUAGAACGCUGAAUCUUGGUGCUUGCACCGAUCGGAUCAGUUGCGAACGGGUGAGUAACGCGUAGGUAACCUGCCUCUUAGCAGGGGAUAACUAUUGGAAACGAUAGCUAAUACCGCAUAAAAUUCGAUAUCGCAUGAUAUUGAUUUGAAAGGUGCAAAUGCAUCACUAAGCGAUGGACCUGCGUUGUAUUAGCUAGUUGGUGAGGUAACGGCUCACCAAGGCGAAGAUACAUAGCCGACCUGAGAGGGUGAUCCGGCAAAAUGGGAAUGAGAACAGGCCCCGACUCCCACGGGAGGCAGCAGUAGGGAAUUCUCGGCAAUGGGGGGAAAGCUGAACGGGGAAAGCCGCGUGAGUGAAGAAAGUUUUCGGAUCGUAAAGCUCUGUUGUAAGGGAAGAAAGGGUGUGGGAGUGGAAAGUUCACACUGUGACGGUAACUAACCAGAAAGGGACGGCUAACUACGUG
rnacentral:rRNA from 1 species